AGGCACUGCUAUCAUGGGGCACUGGUAACAAAUAAAUAUCACUUUGGAGGCCAUGUGCAGAUCAGAUUUGGAAGUGACCAAGACUGGAGGCAGGGACACCAGAGUUUUCUGUUAAAAACUGGUCCAUGCAAGAAAAGAUGACUCCUGAAAUAAGACAGUGAUCAUUAGGAUGAAGAGGAAGAGAAGAUUUGAGGAAUACUUAGAACAGAAUUUACUGAAUUUACUGGUUGAAUUGAAUGUGAAGAGGAGAUGAAUAAAGAAGAAAACACCCUCAAAGAGUCCCCUCUGAGCAUACACUAUACAGCAAACAUUGGAUGAAGAAUGUGUAUUUUCAGUUUCAGAAGCUGAACAAAUAUGAAACAAUCUCUGGAAAAUGGAAUUUGAUUUUGAUUCAACAACAGGAGAAUUCUACUGUUUUUCUCCAGCAGCUCCACGAUAAAAGGGAACCCUGAGCAGAACACAUGCACAAACUCAUGCCAUACCCUAAGGGACAAGGUUCCCCACAUCUACUUGGAAAUCUUUGGGAUGCUCAAUGAUUAGCUCUUUGGAACUGAGAGAUGAGAUGAGGCCUGGAAAACUUCCCCCAGUACAGUCAAGUUCCUGUUGACUAAUUCUGUGACCACCAGUGACAGUCUUUGAGUCCGUGAGGCAGAGUUGCGGCAGCACAGGCUUUGCUUGGAGUUGGAUGGUUCGCACCCUGCUUGGCAUGGUUUCUAAGAGACAUCCUCUGAGUGGAUGAGGGGAGAAUCCAGCAGGCCUCUAGUCACACUGCCCCCUGCAUGGAGGAAAGAUAGAUCGAGGUCCCUUUCAAAAGUGCUCCAGAUGAAGAGGCAUUUCCACUUUCAGAAACCCUGAGAAUCCCCGAAAGAACCUCUAACUAGUCAUUGUACUGGAGGCCGCUCCUCUAUUCCGAAUACUGCUGUUCACUGUCCCUCUCAGCAAACUGUACUGCUCCUAUUGCAACCUGAGUUUAGGAAGACUUAAAGCUAUGUCAACUGUUUAUUUCUCUCCUUGGAGAAGUACCUGUGUCAGCUACCCAAGGUUAACGUCUCCACCAGGUUCAUUAUUUUAUAUUUUAAAUAUAUUUUAAGAUCAAAA
ensembl:lncRNA LINC00158 long intergenic non-protein coding RNA 158